UAACUUCUGUCAGCUCAGUACAACACAAGGAUCACUGCAACUGGACAUGCGAAGUCAUCUGCAUCUGAAAAGGGGGCUCUUGCACACCUCUCAAGUGUUUUUAUUUCUUCUCCAGCAAGAGCAUUUCUGCUGGCAGAUCACACCUCUGCUUAUGGCCUGGAGGCCGUGGUUUCAAGGAAGAAUAGCAUCCUGGAGCUAAGUCUGAGAUUCACACUGAGCCUGGAUCAUAAGUGUUCAGGGCUCAGCAAACUGUUGUCCAUGGGACAAAUCAGACUGCCUGGUAUUACAGACAAAGUUUCAUUGGCACACAGUCAUGCCCACUUGUUUACAUGUUGUCUACGGCAGCUGUCAUGUAACAGCAGAGAUGAGGAAUUACAACAAAGACAACAUGGCCUAGAAAGUCUGAAAUGCUUAUCAUCUGGCUUUUUACAGAAAAAAUUUGUUGAUGCCUGAUCUAUGCAGUAGAUUGACUGCAAAAAUGGCCCGUAUCAUCUACUCCAUGCUGUAUCUACAGCCUUGUCAAUGUGAUUUCGCAGCUCUUCUUCGUGAAGACAUGGAAUUCGGUUCUCUACUCCCGUAAGUCUCGGCUGGCCUGCAACAUGUGGAAUAAAAGGCAGCAUGUUUAUACUGAGCCUAGACCCCAAGAAUUGAUGCAGGUUCUGCUUGCUUUCUUGAACCUCUGCCCCCACCAUGAGAAGCAUCCUUGGCUACAAUGGUGGAAGAUGACAAAUGGAGGUCAAGGAAGACCAAGUGACAGCUCCGAGCAGCCUCCUUCUGGACCUCCCAGCCCUCCCACUGCCGCUAAUGCCAACCUGAACCAAAGAAAGGAAACUGCAAGA